rnacentral:rRNA from 1 species
GAUGAACGCUGGCGGCGUGCCUAAUACAUGCAAGUCGAGCGAACGGACGAGAAGCUUGCUUCUCUGAUGUUAGCGGCGGACGGGUGAGUAACACGUGGAUAACCUACCUAUAAGACUGGGAUAACAUCGGGAAACCGGAGCUAAUACCGGAUGAUAUUUUGAACCGCAUGGUUCAAAAGUGAAAGACGGUCUUGCUGUCACUUAUAGAUGGAUCCGCGCUGCAUUAGCUAGUUGGUAAGGUAACGGCUUACCAAGGCAACGAUGCAUAGCCGACCUGAGAGGGUGAUCGGCCACACUGGAACUGAGACACGGUCCAGACUCCUACGGGAGGCAGCAGUAGGGAAUCUUCCGCAAUGGGCGAAAGCCUGACGGAGCAACGCCGCGUGAGUGAUGAAGGUCUUCGGAUCGUAAAACUCUGUUAUUAGGGAAGAACAUAUGUGUAAGUAACUGUGCACAUCUUGACGGUACCUAAUCAGAAAGCCACGGCUAACUACGUG